AGUGAACGCUGGCGGUAGGCCUAACACAUGCAAGUCGAACGGCAGCACAGUAAGAGCUUGCUCUUACGGGUGGCGAGUGGCGGACGGGUGAGGAAUACAUCGGAAUCUACUUUUUCGUGGGGGAUAACGUAGGGAAAGUUACGCUAAUACCGCAUACGACCUACGGGUGAAAGCAGGGGAUCUUCGGACCUUGCGCGAUUGAAUGAGCCGAUGUCGGAUUAGCUAGUUGGCGGGGUAAAGGCCCACCAAGGCAACGAUGCGUAGCUGGUCUGAGAGGAUGAUCAGCCACACUGGAACUGAGACACGGUCCAGACUCCUACGGGAGGCAGCAGUGGGGAAUAUUGGACAAUGGGCGCAAGCCUGAUCCAGCCAUACCGCGUGGGUGAAGAAGGCCUUCGGGUUGUAAAGCCCUUUUGUUGGGAAAGAAAAGCAGCAGGUUAAUACCCCGCUGUUCUGACGGUACCCAAAGAAUAAGCACCGGCUAACUUCGUG
rnacentral:rRNA from 1 species